GGGUUGUGAGGUUAAGCGACUAAGCGUACACGGUGGAUGCCCUGGCAGUCAGAGGCGAUGAAGGGCGUGCUAAUCUGCGAUAAGCGCCGGUAAGGUGAUAUGAACCGUUAUAACCGGCGAUACCCGAAUGGGGAAACCCAGUGUGACUCGUCACACUAUCAUUAACUGAAUCCAUAGGUUAAUGAGGCGAACCGGGGGAACUGAAACAUCUAAGUACCCCGAGGAAAAGAAAUCAACCGAGAUUCCCCCAGUAGCGGCGAGCGAACGGGGAGGAGCCCAGAGCCUGAAUCAGCAUGUGUGUUAGUGGAAGCGUCUGGAAAGGCGCGCGAUACAGGGUGACAGCCCCGUACACAAAAGCGCAUGUGUUGUGAGCUCGAUGAGUAGGGCGGGACACGUGGUAUCCUGUCUGAAUAUGGGGGGACCAUCCUCCAAGGCUAAAUACUCCUGACUGACCGAUAGUGAACCAGUACCGUGAGGGAAAGGCGAAAAGAACCCCGGCGAGGGGAGUGAAAAAGAACCUGAAACCGUGUACGUACAAGCAGUGGGAGCCCCACCACUAAGCCAGUGGUGAACUCCACAUACGCAUCCUUUGCUGAGGAUACGGUUAACGGAGCGAAAGCGACGUUCAACCGCAAAAGAAGCAGAGGGGGCUUAGUGGUGGGGUGACUGCGUACCUUUUGUAUAAUGGGUCAGCGACUUAUAUUCUGUAGCAAGGUUAACCGUAUAGGGGAGCCGUAGGGAAACCGAGUCUUAAC
rnacentral:rRNA from 2 species